rnacentral:lncRNA from 1 species
CAGAGGACUCUCUCAGUUUGAAAGGCAUAUUAUCUGGAAUAUGAAGAUCAACCACUCCAUUAUCACCAGAGUCUUUAUCACUCACACUAACCACAGCUAUCACUGUGUCUAGUUCUAUGUUUUCAUUGACUGGACUCUGAAAUGAUUUAAUAGAUAUUUCUGGGUGGUUAUCAUUCAUGUCUUCUACCAGAAUCUUUAUGGUACACUGUCCUGACAAACUGUUGGCUCCUUUGUCAGUAGCUAUAACUUCCAUAUCAUAAAUCCUGAAAUCCUCAUAAUUCAGCAUGCCUUUAACAGUGAUUUCACCAGUGGAGGGAUUCAGGUGAAAUGUUUCCUGUGUUUUCUCUGAAGUGUAUAAACUGUAAGAGUAAGUUACAUCAGAGUUAGAUCCCUCAUCUAAGUCUGUGGCAUUCAGAUGGAUAACAAGACUCCCUAUGGGAGAGUUUUCCAUUAUUUUUAUCUCAUAAUUCACUUUCGUAAAUGUGGGUGCAUUAUCGUUUGUGUCUAAAACACGAAUUAUUACACUUGCAGUGCCUGAUCGAGCCGGUGUUCCUCCAUCUACAGCUGUGAGUAUUAAAUUAUGGACAGCUUGCUUCUCUCGAUCUAAAGCCUUUACCAAAAUCAACUCGGCAAACUUUGCUCCCUCUCUUACCGUUUGAACCUCAAUAUUGAAAUGUUCACUUUCACUCAGGCGGUAUGUUUUCACAGAAUUUGUUCCAACAUCGGGAUCAACAGCAUUACUGAGAGAAAAUCUCUCUCCUACAGGCGUCGAUUCAGAGAUAUCCAAGUGUAUGACGUCUCUUCUAAACUGAGGGGCGUUGUCAUUUAUAUCUAAAAUUUCUACUUCUAUGUUAAAAAUUCGUAUAGGGUUUUCUAGUGUAACUUCCAGUCUCAGAUAACAAGUCGCUGACGAUUUUGUAUUGCAUAUGUCUUCUCUGUCAAUUUUCUCCACGAUAUACAGCUCACCAGUCUCUUUGUUCACGUCCAGAUAUUUCUUAUUUGCAAUAAUGUCGAGCCGCAUCCUCCGCUGUUUCAGUGUUUUCACAUCCAAGCUCAGAUCGGCGGCAAGGUUUGCAACAAUUGAUCCUUCUUUCAUUUCCUCUGGUAUUGAAUAAUGAGUCACUGAAGACGAUAUUUUCCCAACGAAAGUGAAAAGAACAGCGAACAGCACGUACCUCCUGCAGGGCUCCAUUGCUACAAAGCGUCCUAUUGUUGUGUGGACGUAAUGCGGUCUGAACGAUUAAAAUCUAAUUUCUAGAAACAUCAGAUAUUUCUGUGACCGCAACGAUAUCGUACAUGAGAGCCCUACACUUCCGAGCACACUCAUAGGCUUUUAAAGAAAAACGCCUAGUCCGGUUAGAGUUUCAGCACCACGGAGCUGUCCGAUCGUCUAAAGCACUGAUGAAAACUGUCUCGUGUCAUGACGUUUAGGGGCCGGCAUUUAAUUUUGAAAACAGCGCCACCCUCCAAUUUUUAGAGAAAUAUAUGUACAAAUACUGAAGAUUAAAUAAACAGUGAUUAAAAGUGUUUCACUAUGUUCUUUUUCCCGAAUAUAGAUAGGAUCAGUAAAAACGGUCAUUCUCUUGACUUGCACUUUGGAAUUAAUGAAUGUUAAGAUGUUGUUCUGUUCAUAUAAUAUGUAUUUACACCCUAAAACUCUGGGGUAAAAAACUUUUUCUUUAAAUACACCCCUGGGUCAAAUACAAUUUGGACCAGCUAACCACUGGAUUUCCUUAACUCAGCCAGAUGUAUGAAAUAAAUACCCCAGUUGCAUGUUUGUUUUCACUUGGUACCACUAAGUCCAUCAAUAAAAAUGAACCAGCGUGUUCCUCGAAUUGUAAACCCUACAUGCUGGGUUCAGUUAAUCACAUUUUGGGCCUACUUUGUCCCAGAGGUGUGUUAAAAUCAACCCAAUAUGGGUUGAGUCAUACAAAGCUUUUUCAUAGUGUCAAUGUACUCAAUAUCUCACUUAAUUAUCAGGUAGAAUUUAAAAAAAAUUCCUUUACCCAAAGUCACGUAGAAUAUAAAUAUUUUAAUGACUUUUUAUAAACACCAAAAACUAAUUGUACAUCACUAUAGCAGUCCCUCAAUCAUAACAGCAAAAUUGUAUUUUUCAAAAACACUUUUUAAAACAGCAAAUACAAACUUGCUGUCUAACAAAUACUUUAGGGGAGCACAGCUGGUCAUCUGUAAAUGUCAGGAUAGAAGGGUACGGCCUCAAGUUACAACAUCAUGUUUGAGCCUUUUUGAGGAGGGAAAGAUACUAAAGAUUACAUUAAAAAAUAAUGGAUACUAAGAAUUCAAGGAUAGGUAACAUGUUAUAACCUGAAGAUUGGAUUGGAUUUCUUCCCUCGGACAGGACAACUGUGCUUUCAUCCUUGCGCAAAUCUAGAGAAUAUCUGAUGGAUGUAUUGUUGAUCACAGCAUUUCAGUGCUUCCCUGAACUCACAUUACAUCAGUCUGUUCACCAUUUAUCUCUUUCACCUGUUGUCUCUAUUAUACUGUUAGCAUUAAAUGGACUAUGUUUAUAUUGCAUUCUCUAGUCUUUUGACCACUCAAAGCACUUUUACAUAACAUGUCAAAUUCACCCAUUCACACCACAUUCACACACAAAUAGCGGAGGCUGCUAUGGCUCCCAUGUGUGAAAAUUGUUUAUUCUUCCUUUCUCUGAUUUUAACGUUGCCUUUUAAAGCUUAGAGAGGAAGGUGCUGAAUUUUCAACGACAGGCAAAAAAAAAAAAAAUACUGUUAAGGCUGCAGCUGUUUGCAUUUGAUUUCUCUCUUACUUUGUAACAGUCACUGGGAGGAAUAAAACACAUGACCAGGCAGAUGGGUUGAACUAAAGAACCCACCUUCAUUCAAAUAGCACAAAGGUUGGCCAACAAAGUUUCGCCAGCAUGAAGUGAAAUUAAAAUAAAUGGCAUUUUAAAGAAUGCAAGAAAAAUGUAAGUCAGACUUGUACCUGCAGAGUGGAGGCUGCUGAGUCACUCGUGUCUGUCAGUCCUGUACCUCUGGGUAUACUGGACACAAUGUAUCUGGAUCCCUUUGGCACAGGCUGUCUGACCACCAGCUUUCCUUUCCUGGUCUCUGCUAGAAACAGACUGUACCAGUAGGCAUCGUUGGACACCAGAGUGGAGUCUGCGAUGGUGGAGUUCCUCUCACUGAUCACACUGUUCCUGCAGGGAGGAGCCGCUUUGCUGGGCUUGGUUUUCUGACACUUGAGCACGAUGGUGACCAGUAUGGUGAUGAGCAGGAGAAAUGACACCGAGCCCAGACCGAUGACCAAGUACAGGUUCAGGUCAUUGAAGAUGUCGUACGCCAGAGGCACCUCAGUCAUGUCAGCGUAGGCCUUGACAGCAGUCUCCACUGUGGACAGCUUGAUGGUGACUGUAGCAGACAGAGCGGGCUGCCCGUUGUCCUUGGCAACAACAACCAGUCUCUGGUGGCGUGGGUCUCUGUAGCUGAACAUCCUCAUAGUCCGGAUCUCUCCGUUGUACUGGUCCAGACUGAACAAGGUGGCGUCGGUCACCUGCAGAAACUGGUAGGUGAUCCGAGAGUUGUGCACAGAGUCUGUGUCCAAGGCUAUCACCUUGGCAACCAGAGAGCCCUUAUCUGUGGACCUGGGGAUCUUUUCCUCCACCACUGAGCCAUGUGCUCGCCAUGGAGACACAAUGACCGGAGCGUUAUCAUUCUGGUCCACAAUGAUGAUGUGGACUGUGACGUUACUGCUGAGAGGAGGAGAGCCAGAGUCUCUGGCCUCAAUGUGGAAAAGAAAGUCCUUCUCAAUCUCAUAGUCAAAAGUUUUGAGUGCGUAAAGAUUUCCGUUCUCUGGAUUGAUGGAGAACAGCAUGGACAUGGAGGUGUUGGCUAUCUCCUUCUCCAGGAUGAAAUAAACUAGAUACUGGUUUUCAUGGAGGUCAGGGUCAAAGGCAGUGAGGGAGCUGAGCAGGGCUCCAGGUGCGUUAUUCUCCAUCACACGGAUGGUAUAAAAAGACUGAGGGAACUGUGGGACAUUGUCGUUGACAUCCAGCAGCUCUAAGGUCAUAGUUUCAUUGUCAGAUAAAGGAGGAGAACCUCUGUCUGUCACAGUGAAGGUGAUGUCAUAUUCUGGAACCUUCUCACGGUCUAAGGGCUCUGACACCACUAACUCAUAAUAGUUAUCAGAGGACUCUCUCAGUUUGAAAGGCAUAUUAUCUGGAAUAUGAAGAUCAACCACUCCAUUAUCACCAGAGUCUUUAUCACUCACACUAACCACAGCUAUCACUGUGUCUAGUUCUAUGUUUUCAUUGACUGGACUCUGAAAUGAUUUAAUAGAUAUUUCUGGGUGGUUAUCAUUCAUGUCUUCUACCAGAAUCUUGAUGGUACACUGUCCUGACAAACUGUUGGCUCCUUUGUCAGUAGCUAUAAUCUCCAUAUCAUAAAUCCUGAAAUCCUCAUAAUUCAGCAUGCCUUUAACAGUGAUUUCACCGGUGGAGGGAUUCAGGUGAAAUGUUUCCUGUGUUUUCUCUGAAGUGUAUAAACUGUAAGAGUAAGUUACAUCAGAGUUAGAUCCCUCAUCUAAGUCUGUGGCAUUUAGAUGAAUGACAAGGCUUCCUAUGGGGGAGUUUUCCAUAAUUUCAAUGUUAUAGUUUUGUUGAUUAAAUUUUGGUGCAUUGUCAUUUGUGUCCAAAACAUGAACUAUUAUACUGGCCGUUCCAGAUCGAGCAGGCUGCCCCCCAUCUACAGCUGUGAGUAUUAAAUUGUGAACAGCUUGCUGCUCUCGAUCUAAAGCCUUUGUUAAUAUCAAAUCUGCAAAUUUUGACCCAUCUCUUCCAGUUUGAACUUCUAUGUUGAAAUGCUCACUGCUACUUAAAAUGUAUGUUUUGACUGAAUUAGUUUCAAUAUCGGGAUCAACUGCAUUACUGAGAGAGAAUCUUUCUCCCGCGGACGUUGAUUCGGAAAUGUCUAAAUGAAUGGCGUCUCUUCUAAACUGAGGGGCGUUGUCGUUUAUAUCUAAAAUCUCUAGUUCUAUAUUAAAAAUUCUUAACGGAUUCUCAAGUAUCACCUCAAGUUUGAGAUAACAUGAUGCGGACAUCUUUGUAGGGCAAUGUUCUCUAUCUAUUUUCUCUACAAUAUACAGUUCACCCGUGUCUUUGUUCACGUCCACGUAUUUUUUGUUGGCGAUGAUGUCAAGGCGCAUCUUCCUCUGUUUUAGAGUUCUAACGUCCAGGCUCAGAUCGGUGGCAAGAUUAGCGACAACAGAUCCUUCUUUCAUUUCUUCGGGAAUUGAGUAAUGGGUCACUGAAGCAGAAAUAUAAUGGACCAUGGUAAAAAGAAUAAGGAGCGAAACGUACCUUUUGUAUGACUGCAUAAUUAAGGCAGAGUCCAUUGUUGUGGGAGUGAUCAUCUAUUGAAACGCUACUUAGAUUUAACAUUUGUUUCCGCUGAUGUUAAUGGUAGUUGAUCCGACCUUCAUGAAAACACAGUUUUGUGUGUUAAAUCCCCAAAAGAAUCUUCAUAUAUCCAAACGGAAAUGUGAUCUCUGUUAUUUCAUCUGGCUUCAGCACCACAGAGCUCUCCUCUCUUUACUGCCCCUCCCUUUUUAAAUGAAACCCUCGUCAUGGCGUUUAUGUCGUGGUAUUUUUUUUUAGUAAACAGCGCCACUCGUUAUGUCUUAGAAAACCAUAGGUUAAGAAACGCUGUGAAAGAUAACAAAAUGUACUACUUGGAACUACAAGCCGCUUCAGGUGUCUGAAGAAAAAGUCGGCUACAAUAAAUUCGUUUCAAGCUUAUCAGCCAUACACCUUUCGGAUAACACACACAUACACACGCACACACGCACACACACUUAAAAUUAACACAUCUAUAAAUAUAUAUCAAUGUAUCUACAAGCCUUUAAAACAAU